rnacentral:lncRNA from 1 species
AAAAAAAGACAAAACAAAAACUACUUUUAUUGAACAAUGGAUAACAUGCAGAAAAAAAAAACUCUUCAAUGUGUUGGUUCAACUUUCUCCUUCAUCUUCCUCAAUAUUCAUUUUUCAUAGUAUUUGACUUAUGUAUUCCUCAUACAUGUUAGUUUUAGUUGUACAUGAGUUUUGGCUUUGAUUGACAUAAAGGAUUGAAUUCACGAAUAUAAAAUGUUGAAUUUCAACAAUGAACCUUCAUUAAUAAUAUAUAAAGUGUGUGUGUG